UACGGAGGGUGCGAGCGUUGUCCGGAAUCACUGGGCGUAAAGGGCGCGUAAGCGGCCUGAUAAGUAGGGGGUGAAAUCCUGCGGCUUAACCGCAGGGCUGCCUUCUAAACUGUCGGGCUAGAGCACGGUAGAGGCAGAUGGAAUUCCUGGUGUAGCGGUGAAAUGCGCAGAUAUCAGGAAGAACACCCGUGGCUAAGGCGGCUCUCUAGUACGGUACUGACGCUGAGACGCGAAAGCGUGGGGAGCGAACAGG
rnacentral:rRNA from 1 species